rfam:Thermotalea metallivorans strain B2-1 AN619_contig000093, whole genome shotgun sequence.
GGUCAAGUAAGGAAGGGCAUAGGGUGAAUGCCUUGGCACCAGGAGCCGAAGAAGGACGCGGUAAGCUGCGAAAAGCCUCGGGGAGCCGCAAGCAGGCGUAGAUCCGGGGAUAUCCGAAUGGGGAAACCCACUUAAGAGAAGCUUAAGUACCCACUACUGAACAAAUAGGUAGUGCGGAGGCAAACCAGGGGAACUGAAACAUCUAAGUACCCUGAGGAAAAGAAAGAAAACUCGAUUCCCUAAGUAGCGGCGAGCGAAAAGGGAGGAGCCCAAACCGUAAGAAAACUUACGGGGUUGCGGAUAUGCAAAAGAGGGAGAAGACUUGUAGCUAAAGAGGUCUGGAAAGGCCCACCGAAGAAGGUAAAAGUCCUGUAGGCGAAACGAGGGGACUCCUGAGCAUACUCCAGAGUACCACGAGACACGAGAAACCUUGUGGGAAGCAGGGGGGACCACCCCCCAAGGCUAAAUACUACCUGGUGACCGAUAGCGCAUAGUACCGUGAGGGAAAGGUGAAAAGAACCCCGGGAGGGGAGUGAAAUAGAACCUGAAACCCUAUGUUUACAAGCAGUGAGAGUUCCAUAAGAGAACGAUCGCGUACUUUUUGUAGAACGGGCCAACGAGUUACGGUAUGCAGCGAGGUUAAGCAGUUUUACUGCGGAGCCGAAGCGAAAGCGAGUCUUAAAAGGGCGGAUGAGUUGUAUGCCGUAGACCCGAAACCGGGUGACCUAUCCAUGGGCAGGAUGAAGCGGGAGUAAAAUUUCGUGGAGGUCCGAACCCAUUAGUGUUGAAAAACUACGGGAUGACCUGUGGAUAGCGGAGAAAUUCCAAUCGAACUCGGAGAUAGCUGGUUCUCCCCGAAAUAGCUUUAGGGCUAGCCUCGGAGGUAGUGAAACGGAGGUAGAGCACUGAAUGGCCUAGGGGCCCUCACCGGUUACCAAAGCCUAUCAAACUGCGAAUGCCGUAAUCAUAACUCCGGGAGUCAGACUACGUGAGAUAAGUUUCGUAGUCAAAAGGGAAACAGCCCAGACCGACAGCUAAGGUCCCAAAGUACAGGUUAAGUGGGAAAGGAUGUGGGAUUGCACAGACAACUAGGAUGUUGGCUUAGAAGCAGCCAUACAUUCAAAGAGUGCGUAAUAGCUCACUAGUCGAGUGAUCCUGCGCCGAAGAUUACCGGGGCUCAAACCUGACACCGAAGCUUCGGCUUGAUGUAGAACCAAUAGUAUUCUUUAGGGAAAUUCCUAAGGGGAUGAAAGGAGAUCUUCUAGGAAGAUUUGGAGUCUAAGAAGAGGGCAAGAGAAGUUAGGACAAGAUCCAAAAAUCUAAAACCUAGAGGGUAGUAUUGGUUCUACAUCAGGGGUAGGGGAGCAUUCUGUACGGGCAGAAGCCAUACUGGAAGGAGUGGUGGACUGUACAGAAGAGAGAAUGUUGGCAUGAGUAGCGAGAGGUGGGUGAGAAUCCCACCCGUCGAAAGCCUAAGGGUUCCUGAGGAAGGUUCGUCCACUCAGGGUAAGUCGGGACCUAAGCCGAGGACGAAGGUCGUAGGCGAUGGAGAACAGGUUGAGAUUCCUGUACCACCGAAGAUCGAUAGAGUGAUGGGGUGACACAGGAGGAUAGGUAAAGCGCACCGUUGGUUGAGUGCGUCUAAGCCGGUAGGGAGAAGAGCCAGGCAAAUCCGGUUCUUCGAUAAUCCUGAGAGGUGAUGGGGAGCGAAAAAAGGAGUAGCGAACUUACCGAAUCCACACUGUCAAGAAAAGCCUCUAGCGAGAUCUAGGUGCCCGUACCGCAAACCGACACAGGUAGGCGAGGAGAGAAUCCUAAGACGAGCGAGAGAACCAUUGUUAAGGAACUCGGCAAAAUGACCCCGUAACUUCGGGAGAAGGGGUGCCACGGUAGGGUUAAUCGCCCGAGGUGGCCGCAGAGAAUAGGCCCAAGCGACUGUUUAACAAAAACACAGGUCUCUGCAAAGUCGAAAGACGAAGUAUAGGGGCUGACGCCUGCCCGGUGCUGGAAGGUUAAGGGGACGUGUUAGGGGAACCGAAGCACAGAACUUAAGCCCCAGUAAACGGCGGCCGUAACUAUAACGGUCCUAAGGUAGCGAAAUUCCUUGUCGGGUAAGUUCCGACCCGCACGAAAGGCGUAACGAUUUGGGCACUGUCUCAACAAUGGACUCGGUGAAAUUGUAGUACCAGUGAAGAUGCUGGUUACCCGCAGCAGGACGGAAAGACCCCGUGGAGCUUUACUGUAGCCUGACACUGGAUUUUGGUAUUGCAUGUACAGGAUAGGUGGGAGACUAAGAAACUUGGACGCCAGUCUAGGUGGAGUCGACGUUGGGAUACCACUCUUGUGAUACUGAAGUUCUAACCAUGAGCCGUAAUCCGGUUUUGGGACACUGUCAGGUGGGCAGUUUGACUGGGGCGGUCGCCUCCUAAAGAGUAACGGAGGCGCCCAAAGGUUCCCUCAGCGCGGAUGGAAAUCGCGCGUAGAGUGUAAAGGCAGAAGGGAGCUUGAUUGCGAGACAAACAGGUCGAGCAAGGACGAAAGUCGGGCUUAGUGAUCCGGUGGUACCGAGUGGAAGGGCCAUCGCUCAACGGAUAAAAGCUACCCCGGGGAUAACAGGCUUAUCUCCCCCAAGAGUCCACAUCGACGGGGAGGUUUGGCACCUCGAUGUCGGCUCGUCUCAUCCUGGGGCUGAAGUAGGUCCCAAGGGUUGGGCUGUUCGCCCAUUAAAGAGGCACGCGAGCUGGGUUCAGAACGUCGUGAGACAGUUCGGUCCCUAUCCGCUGUGGGCGCAGGAAAUUUGAGAGGAGCUGUCCUUAGUACGAGAGGACCGGGAUGGACGUACCUCUGGUGCAUCAGUUGUUUCGCCAGGAGCACAGCUGAGUAGCUAUGUACGGACGGGAUAAGCGCUGAAGGCAUCUAAGCGCGAAGCCCCCCUCAAGAUGAGAUUUCCCAUCCGAAAGGAGUAAGACCCCAAGGAGACGACUUGGUAGAUAGGUCGGGGGUGUAAGGGCAGUAAUGCCUUGAGCUGACCGAUACUAAUAGGUCGAGGACUUGACCAG